AGAGUUUGAUUCUGGCUCAGGAUGAACGCUGGCGGCGUGCCUAACACAUGCAAGUCGAACGAAGCGUGCCGGAGGAAGUUUUCGGAUGGAAUCCGGGAUGACUGAGUGGCGGACGGGUGAGUAACGCGUGGGUAACCUGCCCUGUACAGGGGGACAACAGUUAGAAAUGACUGCUAAUACCGCAUAAGCGCACAGGACCGCAUGGUCCGGUGUGAAAAACUCCGGUGGUACAGGAUGGACCCGCGUCUGAUUAGGUAGUUGGCGGGGUAACGGCCCACCAAGCCGACGAUCAGUAGCCGACCUGAGAGGGUGACCGGCCACAUUGGGACUGAGACACGGCCCAAACUCCUACGGGAGGCAGCAGUGGGGAAUAUUGCACAAUGGGGGGAACCCUGAUGCAGCGACGCCGCGUGAGUGAAGAAGUAUUUCGGUAUGUAAAGCUCUAUC
rnacentral:rRNA from 1 species